rnacentral:rRNA from 1 species
AGUGAACGCUGGCGGUAGGCCUAACACAUGCAAGUCGAACGGCAGCACAGUAAGAGCUUGCUCUUACGGGUGGCGAGUGGCGGACGGGUGAGGAAUACAUCGGAAUCUACUUUUUCGUGGGGGAUAACGUAGGGAAACUUACGCUAAUACCGCAUACGACCUACGGGUGAAAGCAGGGGAUCUUCGGACCUUGCGCGAUUGAAUGAGCCGAUGUCGGAUUAGCUAGUUGGCGGGGUAAAGGCCCACCAAGGCGACGAUCCGUAGCGGGUCUGAGAGGAUGAUCAGCCACACUGGAACUGAGACACGGUCCAGACUCCGACGGGAGGCAGCAGUGGGGAAUAUUAGACAAUGGGCGCAAGCCUGAUCCAGCCAUACCGCGUGGGUGAAGAAGGCCUUCGGGUUGUAAAGCCCUUUUGUUGGGAAAGAAAAGCAGCAGGUUAAUACCCCGCUGUUCUGACGGUACCCAAAGAAUAAGCACCGGCUAACUUCGUG